AUGAGAUCUAUGAGCUCAGAGAACGACACCGCCAAGCUAACAGCACCAACGCUAACCACACCAGGUCUGAGGAGCAGCGGAGACGAUUGCAGGUGCAGGCACCUAGAUGAAAAAUGUGAAGAUCUCCUCAAUUUAAGGUAUACAGAUGAGGAGGCAUACAAAGGUAUGUCAAUUGGAAUUGGUAUGUUAUGCAGAUCACAUGUACCAUCUUCCUCCAUUACCUCUUCAAUGAAAAUCCCAUAGGCCUCUACAUUAUGGACAAGACUUCACCCUCACUACACAUCUGAUGAAUAUAACAGGAAACCUGUUCGAUCACCAUGCACUGAAAAAUCAUUCUGGCUAUGGAUACGGAGAACAUCAACACCUUAACAUCAACACACCAGAGGAU
rnacentral:lncRNA from 1 species